CCUACGGGAGGCAGCAGUGGGGGAUAUUGCACAAUGGGGGAAACCCUGAUGCAGCGACGCCGCGUGGGCGAAGAAGUAUUUCGGUAUGUAAAGCCCUAUCAGCAGGGAAGAAGAAAUGACGGUACCUGAGUAAGAAGCACCGGCUAAAUACGUGCCAGCAGCCGCGGUAAUAGGUAGGGUGCAAGCGUUAUCCGGAUGUACUGGGUGGAAAGGGAGCGAAGGCGGCACGGCAAGCCUGAUGUGAAAGCCCGCGGCCCAACCGCGGGACUGCAUUGGGAACUACCGGGCUGGAGUGCCGGAGAGGUAGGCGGAAUUCCUAGUGUAGCGGUGAAAUGCGUAGAUAUUAGGAGGAACACCAGUGGCGAAGGCGGCUUGCUGGACAGUAACUGACGUUGAGGCUCGAAAGCGUGGGGAGCAAACAGGAUUAGAUACCCCUGUAGUC
rnacentral:rRNA from 1 species